rnacentral:rRNA from 1 species
ACUCCUACGGGAGGCAGCAGUGGGAAUAUUGCACGAAUGGGCGCAAGCCUGAUGCAGCCAUGCCGCGUGUGUGAAGAAGGCCUUCGGGUUGAUAAGCACUUUCAGUGCGUGAGGAAGGUAGUGUAGUUAAUAGCUGCAUUAUUUGACGUUAGCGACAGAAGAAGCACCGGCUAACUCCGUGCCAGCAGCCGCGGUAAUACGGAGGGUGCGAGCGUUAAUCGGAAUUACUGGGCGUAAAGCGCAUGCAGGUGG